rnacentral:rRNA from 1 species
UGCGACCCCAGGUCAGGCGGGGCU